GACGAACGCUGGCGGCGUGCUUAACACAUGCAAGUCGAGCGGUAAGGCCCUUUCGGGGGUACACGAGCGGCGAACGGGUGAGUAACACGUGGGUGACCUGCCCUCAGCUCUGGGAUAAGCCUGGGAAACUGGGUCUAAUACCGGAUAUGACUCCAUGACGCAUGUUGUGGGGUGGAAAGCCUUGUGCGGCUGAGGAUGGGCCCGNGGCCUAUCAGCUUGUUGGUGGGGUGANGGCCUACCAAGGCGACGACGGGUAGCCGGCCUGAGAGGGCGACCGGCCACACUGGGACUGAGACACGGCCCAGACUCCACGGGAGGCAGCAGUGGGGAAUCUUGCGCAAUGGG
rnacentral:rRNA from 1 species